UUAAGCCAGGCUUUUUUAGAAUGUUGUACCUGGACUGUUAAGAGUCAAUAAAAAUAAAAGUUUCAUAUCCACACUUCCUCCUUCCACAAGGACUAGUCUUUUCCUUGCUUGAACCAACUUGAUGAACCUGUGAAACACUCACGACCAAGGCUCAGUUCACAGCCUUCAUCCCUGAAAUCAGCACGUCUUACCUCUAUGCUUAUACUGUCUUAUGAUGAGACAGCAAACUGCUGAUGAGGAGGAACGCCCAAAGAAAGGAACUUCUGACCUCUGCUUAAUGUUCUCUCUUGGAAUGUUCUGAGUAUUACUGUUCAGAGAAAAGAAAAAAAUACACAAGUCUGAAUUUAUGGAGAGACAAUUUGGCUGGAUGGACCAACAAAAGUUGAAAGCUUUUGAUGCCAGAAAGACUGCUUCAAAAAGUAAUGAUUCUAUUCAAACAGAUUUGUAGAUAAUAGCAAUGAGAUUCCAACCUCUUCCUAUUGUCUGUAUCAUUGUUAUAUAAUAACAUUUAGGUGUGAAUACAGAACUGGGUUGAUAAUGUUUAGAGAAUGAUUAAGGUUCUUAUUGACAACUGACACAAAAUAAAUUAUUCAAUAAGUCUUUUCAAAUCAAGAGAUAAUUUAAGUCAUGAAGUCUUAUUUUUGCUUGAAUUAUGACAAGUAGUAUAUAUUUAAGAGGUUGGAAAAGUUAUAAAAAGAGCUUCAAGAUAUUCAUAUUAUUGUAUCUUCUGCAUGCCUGGUCAUCAUCUUAAGGUUCUUUAUUAAAAGAUUUUCAACCCAGUCUAUUGAACUAUUUGUAUACAUACAGACAUGACUCUAAUUCUAUAAUGAAAUUCAGUGAAAACAUUAUUUUAUACAAGUCUAUUUUAUAAUCACUUUACUAUUACUUACUUCUUCAUUAAAACAGAGGUCCCUAUGUUAAGUUCUGUGGAACUGUAACAAUCUCUACCAUUUAAAAGAAACUAAGGCCAUGUAUACCACUUCUACCUGACCCAACUAAGCAAGGAAAGGAAUACUAGGAUGUUCUACUCCCCUUACUCUGCUUCUGAUGUUGUUAGUGCUGUCUUAAAAUCUUCAGACCUUUGUGUUCAUUAUAAAAUCUCUGUAAUGGAUGAAAUCCCAGCUUGGUGCACUUCACCCAGUUUGUACAAAGUUAUGCCCAUUUACAAAACAAAAAAGGGAAUUUUCUAAUCUAAAUUUUGUUAAGAUUUUAGAAAAG